GUUUGGACGGUUUCCAUGCAAAUUGUUCUUGGCCUAAAUGUAUCAUCGUGGUUCUUCGAAAAUAUUUUCUUCUGUAACACUUUCUGUUAGUAGAAUUGGUUGAUCAAGGAUAAUUAUAUUUUAUUUUUCUAAUAUGCGGGUCGUUUGUCACUGAUAAUAACUUACGUGUUUUUUUUAACAAGAUUGUCGGGAAAAUGUCGGGAUAUUUCUUAAAGGUGUACAAAAUACCCCUACACCGUGUCUGCAGCGCGAACUUCCGAGAGGUGGUACAAAAAAGUGAUCUUCGAUCAAUUAGUACCCGGUGUAUAAAAUAUAUUUACUGUCAACUCAGCUUUGAAUAUUAAUUUGUCAGAAAAUAUUCGCUAAAAAAUAUAUUUUCUUUUUGUAAAAAAAAAAAAACGUAAAUUCACAUUAAUCACAAAUUAUUUUCAAGAAUUAACAAACCGCAUUUUCUGGGUGUGGCACGAAAUAACUUUACACCGUCCUGUAUCAUCCUCUCGCGAGACUUCAUCGAGAAGCGCAAAAUAGGAGUUCAAGGAGCGGCAAUGUUUAGAGAGACUGGUGAAAUGUAAUGAAAUGCACAACUUACGCCCAAGAUUGACUCUAAUUCUUCACAUAAACCAUGUUCUCUUUCCCAAAAAUCUUGGUUUCGCUAGGAGUGCAGUAAAGGGAAUGUUGGAAGAAGUGUAGAUAUCAUGGCCACAGGCCAGUGGGCUAGAACCUUGAAGCCUGGCAAGGAUUAUGAGACUGGAAACUCCCAUUGAGACUACCAAAUGAAGAGAAAGUUUCAGACUGUUUAACUCGGACUAAGGGAAAAGAAGCAAAUUACAACAAGGAGAAUAUUGCCGAGAAAGCAAAGACAAGUGAAAAGUCGAGUGAAGAAAAAGCAAACAAGGCUUCACGAUCUGCAACUAGGCCACUGGCGAUGAAGAAGAAAAAUGUACAGCUAAAGAAGAUACAUCAGUGAUCAACUAAAGCUGGGCGACUUAUAUUGGAUUGACGAGGUGCAGGGGGGAUAGUAAUUUGGGUCUGUUUAUCUUUCUGUUUGU